AUCGGGUGCAGUGGCGCACACCUGUAAUCCCAGGGGCUUGGGAGACUGAGACAGGAGGAUAAUGAGUUCAAAGCCAACCUCAGCAAAAGCAAGGUGCUACGUAACUCAGUGAGACCCUGUCUCUA
rnacentral:sRNA from 1 species